AAACAGGCGAGCCAGCUCCUCCCCCUUACGGCCUUUGCGUGCCGCUCUCGGGUAGUGAGAGCGAGCGGUGGCGGCUGCGCAGUGGGGGCACAUCCGGGCACUGGGGCAGGAUGAAUGCUCCUUUCCAAGAUGGCGGCGGAGGGAGGAGGGAAGGAGAUGAACGAGAUUAAGACCCAGUUCACCACCCGGGAGGGGCUGUACAAGCUGCUGAGCCACUCGGAGUACAGCCGGCCCAACCGGGUGCCCUUCAACUCGCAGGGCUCCAACCCAGUCCGCGUCUCAUUCGUCAACGUCAACGACCAGAGCGGCAACGGCGACCGGCUCUGCUUCAAUGUGGGCCGGGAGCUCUACUUCUACAUCUACAAGGGGGUCCGCAAGGCUGCUGACUUGAGUAAACCAAUAGACAAAAGGAUAUACAAAGGAACGCAACCUACAUGUCAUGACUUCAAUCACUUAACAGCCACAGCAGAAAGUGUCUCUCUACUAGUGGGCUUCUCUGCAGGCCAGGUGCAACUUAUAGACCCUAUUAAAAAAGAAACUAGCAAAUUAUUUAAUGAGGAAAGACUAAUAGACAAGUCCAGAGUAACCUGUGUAAAAUGGGUACCAGGGUCGGAAAGCCUUUUCCUAGUAGCUCAUUCCAGUGGAAAUAUGUACUUAUAUAAUGUGGAGCACACUUGUGGUACCACAGCCCCACACUACCAACUACUUAAGCAAGGAGAAAGUUUUGCAGUCCACACUUGCAAGAGUAAAUCCACAAGAAAUCCUCUACUUAAAUGGACCGUAGGCGAGGGUGCCCUGAAUGAGUUUGCUUUUUCCCCUGAUGGGAAAUUUUUGGCAUGUGUGAGCCAAGAUGGAUUUCUUCGUGUGUUUAACUUUGAUUCAGUGGAGUUGCAUGGUACAAUGAAAAGCUACUUUGGGGGACUACUAUGUGUGUGUUGGAGCCCAGAUGGGAAAUACAUUGUAAUAGGUGGAGAGGAUGACUUGGUAACGGUUUGGUCUUUUGUGGACUGUCGAGUAAUAGCUAGAGGCCAUGGACAUAAAUCAUGGGUUAGUGUUGUGGCAUUUGAUCCAUAUACCACUAGUGUAGAAGAGAGUGACCCAAUGGAAUUUAGUGGCAGUGAUGAGGAUUUCCAAGACCUUCAUUUUGGUAGAGAUCGAGCAAAUAGUACACAAUCUAGGUUAUCAAAAAGGAACUCUACAGACAGUCGUCCAGUAAGUGUUACAUAUAGGUUUGGUUCUGUAGGCCAAGACACUCAACUCUGUUUGUGGGACCUUACAGAAGAUAUUCUCUUCCCUCACCAACCUCUGUCAAGAGCAAGGACACACACAAAUGUUAUGAAUGCCACAAGUCCACCUGCAGGAAGUGGUGGAACUAAUCCAGGAAGUAAUGGAAACAGUAUCACAACACCUGGAAACUCAGUACCCCCUCCUCUUCCACGGUCAAACAGCCUUCCACAUUCUGCAGUCUCAAAUGCUGGCAGUAAAAGUAGUGUUAUGGAUGGUGCCAUUGCUGCUGGUGUUAGUAAGUUUGCAACCUUAUCGCUACAUGAUCGGAAAGAAAGACACCAUGAAAAAGAUCACAAGAGAAAUCAUAGCAUGGGACAUAUAUCUAGCAAGAGCAGUGACAAACUGAACCUAGUUACUAAAACCAAAACGGACCCAGCUAAAACUUUGGGAACACCUCUCUGUCCCAGAAUGGAAGAUGUUCCCUUGUUAGAGCCUCUUAUCUGUAAAAAGAUAGCACAUGAAAGACUGACUGUGUUAAUUUUUCUUGAAGACUGUAUAGUCACUGCUUGUCAGGAGGGAUUUAUUUGCACAUGGGCAAGGCCUGGUAAAGUGUAGGGGUUCCUGGAUACUUGGAUCCAAGCAAGAAAGAGCUCCUAUAGACUCUGAAGAUGUCACUAAUUCUACAUUCCUAUUGUUAAUUGCUUCUGAUCUUGUCUAGCUUGAUGGAUCUGAGUCACAGGAACAUAAUUUAGAGGUAAGAAACAAUGACUAAAAGUGUGAUUUUUAGCUAUAUAGCAAGGGAAAGUGAAGUCGUGUUAAUCAGGGUACUUCAGGCUUAGCAGCUAUUUAGUUCUUCAGGCUGUUAGCACUCUCUAAGAACUAAAUGACAAGAAAACAAACCUGCCUUUUGGUGCAGAUGUUUGGUUUUUAAUCUGAAGGCUGGUGUGCGAAUUGAAAUUCAACCAUUACAGUUCUUUUCAACCAAUGACGUAGAGGAAAGCUUGAUCAACUGGCAGCCAAAGUACAUAAGUGAAAAGCAGAAAACACCUCUUUAUUAAACUAUCCAAACCAGUUGUCAACAAGAACCAUAUGUAGCUAAGAAUGCUGCAUAAUUCUUAAGCUACAAAUCUGAACUAUAAGCAAGCCACUAUUGAUCUGUAGUGCAUUUCAAUAAGGUGGUAAAUUUAUGACAAAAUUAACUUAAAUAGACUUACCUAAGUCCAAAUUUAAAUGGUAAUGCAAAACUUAAUGUGAACUCUGAGUCUCCCCGACACACUCAUCGUCUUUUCCAGGCUUCUUAUUCCCAAGUAACAUAUAGGAAUAUUUGUUAAAAUAUUUCUUAAACUGUUUACUAUUUUUCAUUGGCAGAUGAGAACUUUGGAUUCUCACCAGUAGUGUUAACAUUAAUGGAGGUUAACUGUCUAAUUUCCCUUUUUUUUUUCUUGAUGGCAGAAUAGACCCAUUGUCUGUCUGUGAAGUGCCCAUUUGCUGCAUAUUUAAUCAUUAGUUCAAAGGAUACUUACUAUUUGUGUAGCGUGGUAUAAAAAGAAGUGUCCAGAAGUUGCCAGCGGCUUGAGAAAAAUGCAAGGCAAACUAAGAUCAAACAUUUGCAACAAUUCGUGUCCUAAACAGAUCUAUUAAUCUGUGCCAAAAACAUUGUUUUGAACAUUAUUAAGCAGGGCAAAUGAAAUGUUUCCUAGAGAAAUCUGGCACAUGAUUUUUGAGGAAUGAAGGCAAUAUGUUAGUAGUGAGUGCCUGUACACACAAACCUUUGUGCUGAUAAAAAUUAAUCUGCAGCAGAUAAAUUUAAGUUAAUGUCAGGCUCUCUUGCUGGAUUAAUGUAAACUGCUUUGUUUGCAGGGUUUAUUGUCAUCCCAAAACCAGGCCAAUUCUCCAAGUGGAACUGUAGUAUAGCCAUCACACUACUGCUAGCGAAUCUUUGAACACAGGACAAGAAGUAAUGACAGUGGAACCAGGAGCUGUUCUUCAUGCAGAGAGCAUCAGAAAUUAUAAAAUGGCAGAGUGUAAACUUGGAAUUAUGUGAAUCACAUAAUACUUUGCAAAAGAAUAAUGUAAUGAAUUCUUAGUCUGGCUAAUACUUCUAGGCUGCUCACCCAAAGAAGAAUUUUCCUUUUAAAAAAGAAAUGCUUCAUUUGGUGUUGCAGUAAAUUUUUUUCUCAGUUUUCUUUAUACUUUUCAAGUUCGGUGUAAUUUAAUUGAUAUAUAUAUAUGGGGGGGGGGGAGAGAGAGAUAUAUGUGUAAAAUAAAGUAUGUUUCUUAAAUCCAAGUAAGUUCAAUGGUUAUAUAAAUUAGUACUUCACCAUUGUUUGUUUUUUUUUGCACUGAUUUUUUUCAACCAGAGAUGGUUAGAAGACAGCCUGGAAUGCACUCAUGGAAAACGAAAGUCAUUACUUUCUGGCUUAAAAAUGUAAUUCAGGAAGAUGGAUGCUGCAAUCGUAGAUUUUUUUUUUUUUUUUUUUUUUAAACAGAAUUGUUUGCACUUAAAUAGUUUAAUGCUAGUGGAGAAUUACUUUAAAAUGGGUAGUCAGACACCCAGAAAAGCUAUGUUGUGGAGAAAAAGAUAUCCUUUAUAUCUAUGAAACAUUUAUUUUAAUAUCGUUUCCAAUUGCAAUCAGCUCUGUAUUAUAUGUAUAAAUGUAAUUCAGUGAUUGGGAGGAAAAUGGAUCAGUACACUAGUAAUUUUAAUCUAAAAUAUUUCUAAUUCUGAAAAUACAUAUUAAACUAUCUUGAAUAUGCAGUUUUGUUUACGUUCUGUUUUAAAUUGGAUCGAUUUUGAUGUAAUCAAUCUUUUGAAUUAAAUGUUGGGUACAGAAACACACUCUAACGCUUGUAGAACAUAUUCCUUUCUUAAAACCUUUCGCAUCAGGAACACUUCCAUAUUUAAUGUUGCUUAAUUGGCUUAGGGAAAAGAAAUUAUAAAUUUUCCCCUGCACUACUUCCUAUUAAAACUUACCUCUGAAUACAUUUUCCAGACAUUAAACCCCAAUAUUUAUGAAAAUAGGAGCCUCAGAUUUUUGCAGUAGAGUGAUCUCUUCUGAUGCCUUUUAAUAGUUGCAUUUUAGUGGUUUAAUACUGUAUGUCUAAAAAUUAGAGGUUAAAACCUCAAUUGUUGAAUUGCAUUGACUUUCAAGCUGAUUUUUAUGUAGACAACUAUGACAGUGUACUACGUGUGCACACUUUGAUUUUUACAAUCUAAAAUUAGGUACUAAAAUAGUGGAGUAGUAUGUGUUUUGGGACAACUUGCUGUGCUAAAAAUAUCAGGUGCCCUUGCUAUCUUUAACAUUUGAGGUAAAACAGUUAUGGAGGUAGAUAUAUCCAAGUAUUUUCAUAAUCCAAUGCUACUUGAUAGUGGUUGAUACUAAAUUGGUUUUUAUUAGCAAAACAAAGGCCAUUUCAUCCCUUCCAGUAUUUUCUGCAAGGGGAUGACAGGAAUGAAGAAUGUGCUACUCUGGAUCAAAAUCCAGUAGAAAGGGUGACUGAGAUAAUAUGGUGGCAUUUUCUUACUUCCUCUGCCUGGCUUAAGCCCCUUCAGACUCUCUAUUGUUGGGCUUUUUCUGAACUUUGCAGAUGUGCAGCUAGGAGGGGAUAUAAGCAACAGCUUUCUCAGCUCUGCUCUGGCAUUCAUAUCCUUCAAAAUGGAAGGUCUUUCCAAAAGUCAAUUUAAUGCUGAUACUGAUGGCAUGAUCUGGGCCUAAAUUACCAACAAACUUUAUCCCAGGUUCCAACAAAUUUUUGUAUAAAAUUUAUAGUUGAAUAGAAUUUUCUUUAAUUGCAAGAUACUAAUACUCUGUCAUUUUAGAAUAAACUAUACAUAGAAUCAUAGCGUUAGAAGGGACUAUGAGGCUCAUCUAGCCUAACCUGCCAGGAAGGUGGGUUUGUUGUGUCUAAACCAUGCAAGACAGAUGGCUAUCCAGCCUUCUUUUGAAAGCCUCUGUGAAGGAGCUUCCGCAACCUCUGUAGGCAAUCUGUUCAUUGUCCUAUUGUUAGGACGUUUUUCCUGAAAUUUAGUCUACAUCUGUUUGUAACACUGGAGAAACUCAAACUGUAGCAAGCCUCACAUGGUUCUACAUAUCAUCAGUUUAAUAAAAAUUAAAGCCUCACUCCUGUUCCCACUGAAGAUAAACUUUGCUGUUCACUUCAAUGGAAGAAUAAUCAGGCCUGUGAUUUAUGCAGUUCAGGUUUAUUUAAUCCUUGGAUAUAAACAAACUGGGUUGAAACUGUCAAUUUAACAAUCAUUAACAUUCUAAUUUUACCUUCCUUAUUUAAAUGUUUCCAAAUUUGAUUCAGGUAAAUAUGGAAAUAGUGAGACACUUGGUUGCAAUAUAUUUUAAAUUCUUAAACUGAUUUUUAAACAUACAGUGGAGACAGACCGAGUAUCCUAUUACCAAAUGCUCUGAGCCAGUCACCUUCUGGGUUGCAUGCAGAUCACUAACCAAAUUAGAAAAGACAAAGUUGUUACCGUCUGACAGCUGUUCACUGCUCUAUGUAAAAUGUGCUGGUCUGUGGAUAGCUGUCUUUAUCAUGACUAACAUUGAUUGGCACCCUUGGCAUAGAAACAAAGCACUGAAUGGAAACCAACUUUCUGCCCAUCUUCUGUAAUAAAGGUCAAAAAAUACUUUGUUUAGAAGAAACUCCUCUUUCCCCAAGUUUAGAAACUUUCAUGGCUGCCACCCAAGUCAUAAAUUCUUUUGCUAAACAGACUUCAUUUCUCAGUUCUGUUAUUCCAGCACCCUUCACAAGUCUUGUAGGUAAGAAGUAGACUUGAAAAUAUGAUCCUUUCCCUAAACAUUUUUGUGACCGUGUUCGCAGAACACAACAAUCACUUAAAAUAAGGGUGUCCAUCUGUCCUGUUUUCAAGCUGUAAGACUCAUACUUGAACAAAAUUUUGAUCAUCAUUUUGCCGCAAAGUAACUGGAAUAAACAGUUUAAAUACUACCUUUUUGGGUCAAGCAAUUGUAAAAACAGAUGUCCAACAGAACUAUUUAAAUCUAAUUAAAAAAAUCCUAUGGGGAGUAUGAAAAUGUAUUGGUUUUCCAUCCAAACAUUGCAGCACUGGGCUACUUGCCUAAGAAUCUGAAAGUGAAAUUGACUAGAAAUCAUAAAAGUGGAUAGACUAGGUAGGUUUAAACUGACAUUCAAAAAAGUAAACAGCAUAAAUACAGUCACUAUUUAAUUUGUCCUAUAUCCCUAUUCCAAGUGCUCUGGUAUUCAGAAUAUUAUUCUACAUUUGCAUGCAGAGACUACUAGUCUUAAACCUGAAAUAUUGAAUAUAGUUUGAAUGAUGAAUUCUUCAGUGAAAGUGCAGUCACUUGAAAAGAUCUACCUAUUUAAGACCUUAUUCAGCAAAACACUUAUGAGCAUACUUAACUUGAAGAGACUGGAGCAUGGGUAAUCAACAAAGCACUCAUCACUCUCUUACCAUAGAAGGAACCCAGUCCUGCAUGCCUCAUUCAGAAUGAUCCCAGGAAAUAUGCCCUUUUGGACGAGCUUAAAAUACAAAAAAAAAAAAAAAGAGACACCUGCCUUUUAACAACCACCCCCAAAGUUUUGCCAGACCAGCAAUAUUUGAAUUCUGUACAUAGACUGGCAAUUCUAAAGUCAGAUCAUGUAUCUUCUGGGUGUAUAUGUUCAUUCUCUAGUGUGGAUAACUGGUAUGCAAUACAGCAAAGCAAGGCCUAAAAUUGCACAAUAAAAACGGUGACUAUUCUAAUUGUUUGGAAGAUUUUGUAUUUUGCAUAAGUCAGGUGAUUGAAAUAUUUUAAAAAUGUUUAUAUAGUGUACUGAUCAGAACAAGACAUUCCUAAAAUUUUAGGAAACACAAAAUCCUGAAAUUUUUAAGCAGAGAAAAUACAGGCAUCGUUCCAUAUUGAACACGAGUCAUUUUUUUGCACUAAAGCAAACAAUGCUGGGUGAGAGGAAAAUUAUUAUUAUGGCCUGGCAAGGUUACUCUAUAAAAUGUCAUUGUAGGGUUCCAUGUUUCUCAGUUAAUUCCCAAUUUGCUUAUUUUACAAAUGAAGAUUUUUCUAACUCCUAGCCUGACAAACUCAAGCUGGGUUUCCCUAAAUGUUAGCACCCUUCAUAAAGUUUCUGCAGGCCCAAGUAUGCCCUCAUUAACUUUAUGCAAUCCCCAGUGCUUUCAGGGUUUACAGUGACAUAAUGGAUUUUAAUUGGAAUUUAGUAAAUAGUUCUGUUGAUGCUCUAGAAAUAGAAUCCAGCUCCCAUUGUUGGCUCUAUUGGUUCUGGGGGGGGUCUAAAAAGAGGUAAAAGCAUAUUGUAGUAUAUGACAAUACACAAAAUCAAAAAGGUGCAUUUUUUACAUAUAUUCAAAUCUGAAGAGACUACACUUAAAUUUUCACACUUGGAAAUAUGUCACUUAUGAUAACUGGUAUUAAUGCUAAAGCUAGUGAUUGCCAUUCUGCCAUAUUGACAAAUUGAUGAAAAUGAGAAUUUUGUAUCUGAACAAAAUUAACAAGGUUAGACUUUUAUAUAGGUGGGUCCUUUUUAAAAAAGGAGCUGCAUAUUAAAUUGUCAGAAGUAAAACUAACAGCUUGCACAACUCUCUGUAUGUUAAUACAAAAUUCCAGGUGGACCAAUGAAGGCAACUACCAUGCACCUGAAAUUAAAUAAAACUGUUUAAAGAUUAACUAACAAAGCAAUGUAGUAUGAGUUUUAUUAGUGCUGUAGAUAACUCAGGUAGCUAAUUGGUUGGCUUCCUCAGUUGAAACUUCUGAUGUUUGUAAAGCACUGUAUCUAUUUCAUAACCAGCCCUUUGGGAUGUGUGUUAUUUAAGCAGCUAUUUUUCAGCAGGCCUUUUUGUUCUGGUGGUUCAUCAGGUAGGAGUUGUAUAUUUCAUUUGCUCUGUCCAAUAGAGUUAAGGAUCACAUUGGAAUAUCCUCUUCACUUACAUGCCCACUUAACACCGAAAUAAUGGUGUCACAGGCGAUGAUGUUUUUCAUUGUUAAACAACUACUAGUAAGCUGACAGUACAAGUUUGAAAUACUUUCUAAAAUCUGAUGUAAUAAAAUUAAGUUUUCAAGGUGACAUACUUUAGAGAGUGAUUUUCUUAAGUUAGUUGUCUUGGAAGUCGUCCACCUCUAGUUUGGCUUUUUCAGAUAGUUUCCUUGAAUAAUGUUUAGGGCAGUGGUUUUUCAUCCUAUAGUCUGUGGACCCCUGGGGGUCUACAGACUAUGUUUAAGAAUCCCAAAGGGAUCUGCACUUCCAGUUGAAAUUUUUUAGGAGUCCACAAAUGAAAAAAGGUUGAAAACCACUGCUGUAGGGUGUCCUAACAAGUUAGUCUGUUUCAAAAUGCACAACUUAAGUAACAAAACCCUACUAUGAGAUAGUCAUGAAAGCAGUUUGGUUUUUGGCAUACUUCUCAUUUGUAAUAAUGCUUAGCUGUGAGGUAUAACAGUAAAACCUCAUACAGAUAAUUUUCUGUAAAAUUCCAUGUUUUCUUUUGGAAUUGGAGUGUUACAUGAAAGUAGGUGGUUUACUUGAAUUAUUUAGGAUCAACCUGAGGAAAAAACAGUGCUUAGGAAAGCUCUAGGAAACAAUCAGAUUAAAUUAACUUUACCGCUGACACUAGUAGAUUGCUGCUGCUGUGAACUCUAAAGUACAGUAUGAGCUUGAAAGAGUAGAACAGAUGUAAGACUUUUAGAACCUGGAGAGAGUGUGCUGUUCAUGUCAAAUGGUAAUCAACUUCAUUUUUCAAUUUGAUCUUCUAAUAAGCAGCCUGUAGUGAAAUUUUGCAGCAGAUCAAAUGUUCUGGGGAUUUGUAUCCAUCACUCUACAGAACAACACUGUCCACUGUAUUCAUCAGACAGAUAAGCUCACCAACUUUUAGAAUAUUAAUGCUCCUGUAGGGUUGGCCUGUUGCUACUUUAGUUUUUAGAUAUGCUUCAUUUCCUUGCUUCAAACAUACCUAAAGCCUUGUAUCUUUAAUGGAGACCACAAGUACCUCUACCACUUCUGCAUUCUUUCAAUCUGACUUGAAUGCCUGACAGGAAGGUCACCCAGCUCCUAUAGUGUAGUAUCUUGCAAUACAAAAAUCAUUUUGUGCUUUUUUUGCUCCUGCUUCCUCACAACAUUGAAGAUUUGCCAGAAGGCUAGUUUUCCAAAAAAAGGAGCUGAGAAAUACAAAUGUAACCGCUUCCAUCCCCCAAAAGCCAUCUUCUGGACCUCUGUCCCAAAUUUCUAGAGAUAAGGAAUAGUAGGUUACUGUUGCACCACAGAUAUGGGUCUCUAUCUUCCAUUUCCUCAACACCAAUGUUGUACCCAUGUAAAUACAUAGCACAAGUACUCAUCCAUAUAGCAUUCAUCUAUUCUUGUUCAAACUCCCUAAAUUACUGGUAUUUUCUACUUACACAUCACUAUCAUCCCAAAUCACUUCAAACCCUUUCUUCUUUUCCCAGUUUUCCAGUUCAUUAGGUUUUCAUGUUUGUGAAAGAUGAAUGAUACCCCAGGAGCUGAAAGUCCACUAUCCAAGCCCGUGGUAUAUGGUGGUUGGCAGCACUGCAAGCAACCUCACAGAUUCCCACUACUGGGCCUUGGACCUAUGCUACAGGAAAUUUCUGCAGGGCUGCGAAAGUAUUUACUCCAGGCUCUGACCUUUAAGACAGACACACCUGUUGAAUAAGAACUGGAGUAAGAAACACAUCUUACAGGCCAGCAAACAGCCAUGAAAUAAUGAUGUGGGUAGUGAUCAGGUCAGAUUUAAACUGGGGGCCAAACAGUGGGACUCCAUGUUCUAUGACCAGUACCCUCAGCCAUACACCCUGCCAUGCAAUGAAUUUGAGAGAACUUACCUGUGUCAGAACAUUAGACUUUGAAAACUGGCUUUCCAUGAUGAUAUCUAGCUCUUACAUAUCAUUUUCACCAGUAGAUCUCAAAGAGCUUUACAAAGGAGGUAUGUACUGUAUCCCCACUUUAGAGAUAGGGAAACUGAUGCAUAAUAGGGUAAAGUGAGUUGUUCAAGAUCACCUACUAGACCAGCAGUACAGCUGGGAACAGAACCCAGCUCUCCUGAGUCCUAGUGUAGUACUCUAUGUACUAGGCCACACAAUCUUAGAAGACAUAGCAGUGAUUCAUUUAAAAAAAUAAAAACAUACUAACUUCUAUUCUCUCAUCUACAUGGUUAGUAGAGAAUGACAUGCUGAGAUUUUAAUGAAAAAUAAAAUUAAUCUCAGCAUCUUAUUUACAAAGCAAGACUUGUUGAUUUUAUAACAGCCUAACUUUCAAAUACCAAACAACUUGUGAAAAAAAUUCUGGAGGUUAGGGUAAACUCCAGCACUAUUUUGCUGUAUGUAGGCUGACUUGCUUAGGCCAGGUCUACCCUACAAACUUACAUCAGUAUAACUAUGUUGCUCAGGGAUGUGAAAAAUCCACACUCGAGUGACGUAGUUCUACUGAGCUAACUGCUGGCGUAGACAGUGCUAUGUUGAUGGGAGAGCUUCUCCUGUUGACAUAGCUACCGCCUCUUGCAGAGGUGGAUUAACUAUGCUGAUAGGAGAAGCUCUCCUGUCAGCAUAGUAGCAUCUUCAUUAAAGUGCUACCACGACAUAGCUGCACGGGUGCAGCUGCAGCGCUGUACAUGCAGACAAGCCCUGAGUCUGACUGGAUUUAAUUUAUCUUCACAUUUAAUGUCCUUUUAUGAAAAAGCUGGGUUUAGUUUGGCUUAUGUUUUUUUCUAAUAAAAAAGUGACCAGCCAUCUAGCACUAACAAUGCCAUUCUACUUCCUAUAAGCAAUAAGGUAAUGAAGAUUUAGGGUGACUAGCACACUCCUUACCACCAAACACCACUUACCUAGGAAUUAGUUACCUACACAUAUAACAAUGUAUACAUUAACAAAUGAAGCCUGUAAGGUCCAUGCAUUUCCUGGGCAUUAAAACUGCAUCGUCACUGUGAGGCCUACAGGCAACACCUAGAUGAGAAGCCUGCUGCCCCUGACACAUGAGCUGUUGGGAUUUCUACUGGGGUGCUGUUCCUGGAUCUUGACUAAUGGCUCCAUUGUUUGUAUUGAACUUUGGCUAGUUGAUGUCUGAUAAAACAUGGAGAAAAGAGGUCUUCACUAGUCUACAUCUCUCCAGGGACUACUCUACACCACAAAGGCUAUAGCGUAUGGUGUAGCUAUACUUGCAAAGCCCCCUACUGGAGAUUCAGUGCCUACUCAGCAAAAGGGAUUCUUUUGGCAGUAUAGUUAAACCGCCUGCCCCAAACAACAUGAGGAGUCCUUUUGCCAGUAUAGUUUUGUCAGUAUAAGAUGUGUCUACGGGGGAAGGGGAGGGAGAGGAAAGGGGGUGGCUUAACUAUAUUGAUUGGGGGUGGGAUUCUCCCCACCACCCACUCUCCUACCUGACAUAACUAUGCUGGGAAAACUUUCUAGUGUAGACUGAGUCUGGGGUGUUCUCCCAUCAACUCCAAUGAAUGCCUCAGCAGCACCAACAUGAAGUGACUUCAGUUUAACUGCUGUCCACUAAGUUCUGACUAGCAGCUGUAAAACUGAGUGGGCUCUUAAUGAUUUCACUCUGCUGCAGCCUAGAGAAGCUCUGAAGAGCAGCAGAGGCACUGGAGCUGUUUUUCCAACAGGAAGAGAUGUCCAUUAACUUUCCAGAUGUGAACAGAGUAACUUUUACAACCAUAAAGGAUAGAAUCUUUUUUAAAUGCACAGCUCAUUGUACAGAAAUUAUCUUAAGUACCCCCAUAUAUAUAUCAGGAAAAGCUUCCCACUUAGGAAUAUCCAGAACUUGAAAAAUCCAGUCCCAACAUAGCUAUAUCAUCUUCCAUAGUUGAACUCCAUUUGGUUCUAAAAUUGUAAAGCUACUUUGUAACAGAGCUAAUGCUAAACUGACAAUUUCCCUUCUUACUAGGAUAUUAUGAAAGUUUUAAAAGUCAAACACACUGAACUCUUAGUCAUUACCUUAAAUGGUAUCUCUGCUACAAUGACCAAAAUGUUAUUUCUGAAUUUUGUUGGCUUCUACAGCACAAAAAGCUGAGAACCUUAUUAAAUGAGUGCCUAUAAUUUGUGAAAUGUGAAAAAAUGGUCUAAAUCCAUAUGCUGUUUCUUUACCGCUAUUUCAACCAACUAAAUCGCGAAACCACCAGACCCAGUAAAGCUUUUGAUUAAUACAAAAGCACAGUUUAAGAAAGAAAAGGACACAAAUGAUAAAGAUAGAUUUGCUUAUGAAUCAGAUAUGUAACUGUACAGCUAUCCUUUGCAUAUACAAAUGUCAAAAGAAAUUAAAACUGUUUAAUUUUACUAAAAUCAGGUGUUUCUCAAAUUAUAUCAUAAUCCAUAAAAUAUUAACAGACUUGAGCUUUGAAAUUAUCAACCUAAUACAGGAGGUAAUUUUCCAACAUUGUCUACGCAACUAACAUUUUCAUCUGUUAAAAAGGUACAAAAUGAACAGAUCAAGUUUAACAAGUUUUAAAUAUCAUCAUAAACUAUUUUGCAUAUAAUAUAAAACUUAAGUACAAAAUGGCAUUCCUAGCACUCAAACUAAAACAUCCUAAAUUAUCCAUUUUUGUUUAAAAAAAAUGUUAAAAAGCUAAUUUGUUUAAAAGGGUUCAAGUAUAAAGUGCAUUUUGAGCUGCCAAAAUGGUGCUUAGAUAAAUAUUGAUAUUGUUCAGAAAUAAAGUGCUAAUAGUCUUGUAGUGUUUUCCUGCAGCAUUUCAGGGAAACAAAAGAUAAGGCACUAUUGCUUUUGGUGUACCUUUGACAAUAAUAUAGAAAGCAUGGUUGAAUCUGUUUCACUGCAUACUCAUGCUUUUCCUUACAUUCCAAAUAUUUGACAAGAUGGUCAAUAUCCUCCACCUCUUCUUUCUAUUGUGGGUAAGUGGUAUUGUUUCACAGAAGACUUAAGUUCCUUUUGUUUUUCAGACUGUUGAAAAAAUGAUAGAAGUUUGAAAUAUAGUCUGUAAUACAUUUAUAUUUAUCUUCUGUGUAUAACUGAAUAAGCAAGUUAAAGUUUGCUACCUUUUGAUUUGUCCCAAUAUAUUUAAUAGGUUGUAACACAGGGACUUCACCAUUUGUUGCAGGUGUGGUAAAAACUGAAUGAAAUGUACGAUUAGGAUAAGAAGUCAACUUGGUUACUCCAGAAACAUUCAGUUUUGGCAAUUCUAUCGCAUAGGAAGGUUCAUGAUGUCUUAUUGAAUUCUCCUGGGUUUUCCUAAGAGAGUGCUUUUAAAAUAAAGUUACAAGUUUCAAUCUGCUGACAGUGACAUUUUUCUUAAACAGGAUAAAAUAAAAAACAGAACUUUAAUCCUCCAAAGAUCCAUUUCAGCUGAAUUCUUAAACAUACAUCCCUUAAUGAUGAUUACUUAUAAAGACCUGCACAUUUUCUUUUUGUGGUUUUCCCCAAGCAUCUGUGUACAAACCCUAUUUCAACCAAUUCCCAACAGUUGAAUUAGUGGAACAAACGGCUGCUAAUGGGAAAAAGGACUCAUACUUUAAAGAUGACCUAUAGAAGAUAAUUGUGCUUGUGACUUUUUCUGUUGCUAAUUUAUGAUAUGUGUUUAACCAAAAAAGGCCGAGUGUAUGUCACCUACAGAGACUUGUGGGAGAGCUCUGAGAAGCUUGAAAGCUUCUGUGUUCCACCAACAAAAGUUGGUCCAAUGAAAAGUAUUAACUCACCUAUCUUGUUUCUGUCAACAACAAAAAAAAUCUAUCUAUCUAUCUAUCUUAAAUUAGGAAGGUCAAGUCCUGUUUUGCUGCAGGUCUCACUUGGAGGACCCAGAGAUGCAUAUUAGGAACGUGGCCUUUGGAUGAAGGGACGGAGAAGUGGAAUCAUUUUGGAGUUAGUUUAGAUAAGUAUAAACAAAAUAAAAGUUUAACAGUCUACAUAUAAAUCUAUUCUCUCAGCGAGGCUUCAUAUCCUUGGCAUCUAAUGUUACCUAAGUUCUCCAGUUAUCUACAGUCUUCCAGGAAAAACAGGAUAGACAAGACCAAAAUUUCCAGUGUACAUGAAUAGAAAUUAAAAAAAUUCUUGGUCCUUUAUAAUGCAUACAGAAGGCAAAAAGGCACAAAGCUAUUAGCAAGACUUACUACCACUACUUACUACCACUAUUAAGGGGCUAUGGCAAACCUUUAGGCCCUGACCCCUGCCUUUCACUAGCAUUUUGCACAGGUGCGGAGGUCUAUGCCAGCAGAUUCCUAUACAGGACUGGAGCCUUAGUUUACCUCAGGAAUAAAACCAUGCAGUCACCAUUAAGUGACUUUUGUUUAUGUAUCUAACCUAGACCAAUCUGAUUAUAUGUAUCUAAUGUAUAUUUGUUUAUGUAUCUUAACUAGACAUUAAAAAUGACUUAAUUUAAAUAGGCUGCAUGUUCUCCAGUUUGAUUUAAAUAUUACCUGCCUAUUACCAUCCUUUGAAAUACACCACAAGUUGAUAGAUUCUUGUCCCACUAUGUUUUCUGCUAAUCUCAUUUUUCUGUGCAUGGUUACAGCUUGCUUCUCUGCUAUUCUGAAAAGAGUGAACAAAAAGUCAAAUACCACCCCUUCAGAUGAAAUCUGGAGUCCAGUAGGAUAGUAAAGACAAACUGCCAUAUGAAUUUUACUUCUCAGUUGUUUUAAUGCAGUAAAUAAACUGCUGACAAGGAAGGAUCUGUGCCUAAUGUAACUUCCAGACUAGAGGCAUGAAAGAGUUCCAGAAAACCAUGGUAAUGGCUUUCUCCUCCCUAGAAUGUGGAACAGUCAAAUGAAAUUUCAAGUUGCACAAAUGCUUUAUAUCAGUGAGUAAGUAUACAACAGAAGUAACAUCUACUUUUCAUCUUCUGAUACGGAAUCCAUAUUCCCCUCUUCAUGAAUAAGAAGAAUUUGAUUAACAUUUUUACACUUGUCGUACAAAACCACCACCAUUGCAAUCAGCAUUUCAUUUGAACUAGGACAUAAGGUGAAGACAGCCAAAUUUCAGAAUACACCAGAAUAGUCUGACAAGUACAGCUGUGAAUCUGACUGCCUAUAAAUUGGCAGCGUUGGUAUUGCAUGAUUUUUCAUAGUGCAGGGAGGGAUUCUGCUACAGACGAGCUGUGAGUAUUAUGAAUGGUGACAUAAUAUAUCUAUUUUCCCCCAAUUGUAUUAUAGCAGAAGCAUUCCAUUCCAAACAUAUUGGUAGGCCUCAUUUCCUAUGUAAGCACUAAAGUAAUGAUGCAUAAGGUUCAAGAUUUAGAAGGGAUUUAAUCCUCUACAAGUGCACUGCCCAGAGUGUCUUAUUCCUGUUUUGGUAUGCAAAUUACAGAACAACCUGUUUACUUCAGUAGGUGUUACUGACAAAGGUAAGACUGCUGAUAAGCAAGACUACUCCAUUUUUGUUUAGGGUCCUGAAGACAUCUGAUAAUCACUUAGAUUGUUUCCUUUACAGGCCUUCUUAAGGCUUUGAGCUUUGCUGUAGUGCCUAUAAAUAAUAAUAUCAUUAGUACAAAGAGAAAAUUAGCAAAUUUCUUAGAAAACUUAGUGACUCUGGUUAAACAAGUUUUAAAUUACUUCAAAGUUAGACUAUAUUUAACAGUUCAUUAACUAAAACUAACUUUAGAUUAUAAUGCUAGUUAACUAUAUAGCCAAACAUGUUAUUGCAACCUUUGGAUUUUCUAUCUGUACUCAUUCUUUGCCAGGUAGAGCAGUUUGCCACGUAAAAAUAAAUGUUAUACCUAAAAGAGUAAGACAAUAAGAAUUCUUUUCUUUAAUGGCAUUUGUAUGGUCCCCAUUACUACAGUAUCUGAGCACUUACUCCCAUUUGACAGAUGAUGAAACUGAAGCUUAGAGGUGAAAUGCCUUUCCUAAGGUCUCAAAAGAAGUCUACAGCUGAGCCAGCUACAGAACCAAGAUUUCUGGAUUCUCGGUUCACUGUCUGAACCACAAGACGAUUCAUCCCCUUGUUAGCGUAAGAGUCUGCUGUAACACAGGUUUGUUUAAGACUAACCUGCAAUAUUUGUUUUUUCAGAAUUCUGCAGAGGAUUUUAAAAAAAAAUAAUCAGAUCGGGUCCUUUUUUGCUUCUUUGAUGUAUAUAAAGGCCUGAAAACUUUCCCUUAUUUGUUUUCUGCCUUUUUUUUUUCUUUACCAUUAAGUAUCAGGAAUGUCAAAUCUGGUCUUCCCUGAUUUUGCUAGAGGACCUAUUGUAUCUCUGACCAUGUAUAUUGUGAGCACUCACACCUUAUUUGAAAGGGCUGGGGUGUCAAAUCUUUGACAUGUUUAAAAUUCCAAAAUGUUAAUUACUGAAGGUAAUAUGUAUUAAUAAAAAAAAUUGUAAACAGUAUGACUAACUAAAGAUUCCUUCCCCAAUAAACUGCUUGCUUUCAUUCUCUUGA